GCGUGCGUGAAGAAGGCUUUAGGGUUGUAAAGCGCUUUCACCGGUGACGAUGAUGACGGUAGCCGGAGAAGAAGCCCCGGCUAACUCCGUGCCAGCAGCCGCGGUAAUACGGAGGGGGCAAGCGUUGUUCGGAAUUACUGGGCGUAAAGGGCGCGUAGGCGGGAUGUCAAGUCAGGGGUGAAAGGCCUGGGCUCAACCUGGGAACUGCCUUUGAAACUGGCAUUCUGGAGUCCGGGAGAGGAUGGCGGAAUUCCCAGUGUAGAGGUGAAAUUCGU
rnacentral:rRNA from 1 species